GUGACUUAUAUGGAGGAAACCAAAAAGUUCAAGAGAACAAAGCCAUAUUGGGUUGUGCAGACCCUUGAAUUUGCAGCAAAGCCUGGUAUUAGAAGAGGUGAACCCAUUUUCUCAUGUUUUGUUAUGGUUGCCUGGAUAUCUGGAAGGUCCUAUGUGAUAUCUCCAAUAGUUAGAAAUACGGUGCCCCACUUUGGACAACUGAAGAAUUGGCAUUAUCUUUUACCCAAGUAAAUCACAGAUAUUUUGAAUUGUGCUCACACCACUUCCUUCAACCUUUGACCCUUCUGCUCCAAGAGCUCCUAUAAACACAAUUUUACCCUUGGAACACAACAGCCCUGCAGCAAGUAGCACAUCCCUCUCCCUAAGUCCCCAGAUAGAAGAAAAUAUGAAAGGAUCUAUUAAACCUGAAAGUAGAAUAUCAUUUUGUUAAGAAAUACUAAUAUGUAGUAUUAUGGCAGUAGCUUGAUUCCUUAGCCAUUGGUGAGACACAGGACUCGGUCACACGGAUAACCAUAGCCCUUCUGUCCUCCUCACUAUUGACACCCCCUGAUCGGAGUGAAGCAGAGAGGGAGACACAGAGACCUUUGUGGCAAUUUGCCUUACCUAAGCUCUCAGAUACUUUGUGGAGGUAACUUCCUUACCCCUCUCUCCCAGCUAUGAAGGAAUCACAGACCAACAAGGCCUUAGAGCAGAGCACUGGGUUGGUGCCUAAUGGCCAGAAGGAUAAAAGUCAGCCAUGUAAAACUUUUUGAAGUUCAAAUUAGUUUUUCAUUUGACUGCUUUAAUCCUAGCUUUUGCUAUAGACCUCAAGUUUCUACUAUUUUUCACUAGAAAGUCUCAACUUCGUAAUCAUCACAACUGAGCUGAAAGGUGGACAAUAGCAGAUGAGGAUAAGAAGAAGAUCUUAUUGCUGGGCAUAAGAAAAUAUUUCAAAGAAUUUGGAUUCAAAGUGUCUCGUCAUAGACAGUGAAUACCAACCACUUAUUAUUUCAGUUUGUGCCUAUUUAGAUUCCUGAAGCUAAAUUCUCACAUGGCAGCCUUUAUGAAUUAUGAUUUCUAUCUCCAGUUGGCAAGGGACUCCUAUCUGAUGAAUAAUAACAUGGCUUCAGUUAUUCAUUCCUUGAUCAUCGCUCAGUUGGACUACAACCAUACAAUAUAUCCUUAGCAACACAAACUACUUCAAGCACAUCAAGCUUGUCUUCUGCUUAUGGCAGGCUAUAAAAUUGUGAAUCAUUAUAUCUUGAUCUUUAGCUACAAUCAAUAUAUAAUAACAUUACAUAUAUAUAUAUCCUGCACAAAGCAUUAAAAAAAAAAAAACAACCCUUAAACCUUCCUGUAAGACACUCAACUACCCAUGCUUUUCCUCUGAGACAAAGCAUCCUGUAACAAGGUGUUUAGCCAUGUUUCUUUAUACUGUGCUUUUCUACUCAAGUAUCAAGGACAUAAGAAGAAAUCCAGAUUUCCUCUCUGCAUUCUACAGUACAAGACCGAUGAAGACUCAAGGGAUUAAAAAAUGUACAGGACUAAUAAAGGUUUGCACCUACAGCCUGUAGGCUGAGGUAGAAACCAGAGAGUCUUUUUUUUUUUUUUUUUUUAAUAUUAAACAUACAAGACUUGGGUCCUUCGUUCCCUCAGAUAAUGUAUGUGGAUGGACUUACUCAUGCAAACACCUCUCCUUUGCAGAGGUAAGAACGCAAGGAGAAGCAGGGUCCCAAUGGAGGCUUUUCUUUUGUUCAGAAACAGGCAGUAUUACUGCCACUGUGCAGCUACUGCAAAUACAUCACUUGUGAUGAGCCAAGGGAACAAUUUCCAUAGUUUUGCACCAAGAAGGUCUCAGCAUGGCAUUGAAUUUGGAAUAUAUACAUGACUUAUCAAAAAAGUCCAUCAGCAAUCACUGAUGAUCGUUUCUGAAUAAGACAUUUUCAAUAUACCUGCAGGACAAUUCACUCUGGCUACACAGAGCCGUACAGCCAGCCAUCAGCCCUCCUUUUCGACUUCCAGAAACCAAGGAUUUGUUUAUUUUCUUCCUUUGCAAAGGAUGAGAGGAAACAGCAGAUAUGUUAACCAUGUAAAUUCAUACAAAAUAGUAUUAAAAAUACAUCAAUGUAUUGCAGGUUUUGGACUCCUUGGAAAAGUUGCAUGACUGUACAGAAUUCAUGGCCGUGCUGCUGUGCCAGAGCCACAGAUCUGAAUUGCGUGCUGGGAGUCCAUGUAUUACAUGUCAGCAAUAGUGACUGCAAGGGGGUUGCCCGCAUGUUGCAUUGUAAGCUUUCCUUCUUGGUGUUGAGACAGCAAGCAGGAAGGCCAACGCAACAACAAAAGGUGACAGCCGGUAGCAGGAGAUAAAGCCAGUCAACCUUCUGCUUUGCAGAUCCUUACUGAAAAAUCGCUAUUGCCAAUAGACUGAAUGGCUCAGGUGAGAGGGGACAGGAUGCAAUUACUAUCUUCUCCCCUGCUGAAAAUCUAUUUGAAGGUCUGUAACCACAUUUUUAAAGAGCCAAAACACUUUGUCUUGAAGAGGACCACUUGCCAUAUUUGAGAAUAUGUUAAUUUAAAGGAAAACAGAUCAAAGGAAAGUGAAAAAGAUGAAAUGAAUAGAUUAAAAUAGCUUUCUACUCAAAUGGUACUCCAUUAUGCCUCCCAGCCAGGUUGUUUUUCCCCCUUUUUUUAGAAAAACUUAUAUCUUUUGAAAACAAUGGACAGUUUGACUGGAACAUGUAUCAACACUGGAAAUCAUGAGUUUCCUUUGAUUAUUUUGUGAGGAAUGAGUUGAAAUUCAUUGGAGGAAAUAGUAUGGUAUGCUGUAGAAUAGGUUUACGGAUUAAAUCUAUUUGGGUCCUUACAGACUUUAAAGUUAUUAAAUAUAUUGAAUGAACCACAGCCUGUGAUCUGAGGAGAGUUCUUACCAGUGGUAAAGUAUUGCAGAAGUAAAUCAAUUGUGGACUCACUUAUUUAUUUUUUUUCUCAUAUAACUUUCGUAACUAUUAGGAAAGCGUACAAACUGACCUCUGAAGCAAUUCAUUUUUUCCUCAAAACUUCAAAAGUAAUUUUAGUUUUAAAACCAAGAAAACAAAAGGAAAACAAAUUUUAAAAUCUCAAGGGCUGUUGUGAAAAGGGACUGCUGUCUUCCAGCCAACUCUAUUAUACAGUAGACAAAGGAAUACAGCUUGCUCUGCCAUACCUAUAUUGAUUUUGCAGACAGAAAAAUAUAAAAACAUGCUUCUAGCAAAACAUCUAGUAUUCUGACUGUAGGUGUACUUUAAAUUCAGUCACCAGCAAGAAUUUUUUAUUUAUAAAUUAAAAAUUAAAAAAUGCUAAGAAAUUAAUU